rnacentral:rRNA from 1 species
CCUACGGGAGGCAGCAGUGGGGAAUAUUGGACAAUGGGCGAAAGCCUGAUCCAGCCAUGCCGCGUGUGUGAAGAAGGCCUUCGGGUUGUAAAGCACUUUCAGUGGGGAAGAAAGCCUUGGGGCUAAUACCCUCGAGGAAGGACAUCACCCACAGAAGAAGCACCUGCUAACUCCGUGCCAGCAGCCGCGGUAAUACGGAGGGUGCGAGCGUUAAUCGGAAUUACUGGGCGUAAAGCGCGCGUAGGCGGUCUGAUAAGCCGGUUGUGAAAGCCCCGGGCUCAACCUGGGAACGGCAUCCGGAACUGUCAGGCUAGAGUGCAGGAGAGGAAGGUAGAAUUCCCGGUGUAGCGGUGAAAUGCGUAGAGAUCGGGAGGAAUACCAGUGGCGAAGGCGGCCUUCUGGACUGACACUGACGCUGAGGUGCGAAAGCGUGGGUAGCAAACAGGAUUAGAUACCCGGGUAGUC